rnacentral:rRNA from 1 species
ACCUGCCCUAUGAUUUAAAUUAAAUGGCCGCGAUAUUUUGAUCGUGCAAAGGUAGCAUAAUCAUUAGUUUCUUAAUUAGGAACUGGAAUGAAAGGUUGAACGAGAAAACAACUGUCUCAAUUUAAUUUAAUUAGAAUUUUAUAUUUAAGUUAAAAAGCUUAAAUAAAUUUAAAAGACGAGAAGACCCUAUAGAGUUUUAUAUUUAAUAAAUUUUAAAGAAAAUUUAGAAUUAAAUUUUUUAUUAUUUAUUAAAUAUUUGAUUGGGGUGAUAUGAAAAUUUAUAGAACUUUUCUUAAUUUUAUACAUUAAUAUAUGAAAAAUUGAUCCAUAUUUUAUGAUUAAAAGAUUAAAUUAC